GAACAGUUGUCAGUCAGUAAGGCCUGGCCGGCUGCUGUUAACUACAUUUGUUUAAAAUGUAGUGUACCUAAAGACAAAGCCGGCGAGUUAUUGAAAGCAAGAUGACUGAUUAAAAAAAUUAUUCUUUGUCCUUUGCAAUACCCAAAAUUAUGUUAAAUAAAGCCUAUGAGAAAGUUUUCCCAUCCUAUGAGAUUAACUGUCUGUGUGAUGGUUGUGAUUAAAAAUGGAAAUGGAUUCUCUGACAAAAACACUGCCCUUCUUUGUGUGAAAGACACAAAGGUGAGGAUGUCCCAGCUGAAAGGUGGUGUGUAAAUAAUGACAACAUCCCCCCACUCCCCAGCUGUAAGAGGUAACUCAGGUCUAGUUUUCAAGGACACAAGAUGAAAGGGGUCUUGAUUCUCAUCACAUUUACCUCUCCCCAAUUUGUACAGGUCCCAUAGACUGGAGUCACGCUGGCAGCCGGGUCCCACUCUCUGUGACUCCCCCACUCUCCUGCCUUUGGCAGUCUCACCUCCCUCACCAAACCUUGCUGCUUUAGACGGCGCCAGCCAGCAGUAGCAUUUUGUGGAGAUAACUUUUUGAACCCACAAGACUGAAACAACUUCCCUUAACUGAAAUGACCCCAGCAGAGCUAUUCACUAGAAGACAUCCUCCUUGAUUUCUUGGGGGGCCCAUAAGAUGACUGAAGUUGUAGAACAGCAAAGACUUGGAACAGACAUCGAGGUCCUAUUGCUCCUGUCGGAAACUUCUGUUGACUGCAGCAUGAGUUGGAUGGGACCCAGAGAAACCAAAUACAGACAAGUAAUGAUGAGUUGGCCAUACAAGCAAGGAAAAUCACAGAUAACAGGUGCACACCAAUUAGCAAUGUAUCUUUUGGGUCAUCCAGUACAUCUUUCUGACACUAUGAAGUUGUUUCUUAUGGCAUAUUUUUGUGGUUUUUUGUGCCUAGAUUAAAUUUCCUAAGUGAUGCCUAUCUCAAGGGAGAGGUUGUGUUGCCUAGAGCAUCCUGCUGUCAGGAGUUUUUUCCCAUUGUUAACAUCAUCAUAUUUCUUCUAUUUAUGUCCCUUUACAAAUUUCCUUCUUUCCCUUUGAUCUCUUUUAACUAGUGUGAUGUUGUCUUUAGCUAGCAUUAAGGAAACUCAUAGAUAUUUAGCUCACCUAAUCUUUCCUAAUGUAGCAGUCCUUUCACCCCUCUUGUUAUUCUUCAUUUCUUCUCAUCACACAACUGCCUGUCAGUAUCUUUUUUAGUUAUGAGAUUUUAAAGACGUGGCGCAUUUCUCUGAUCUAACAACAGAUCUGGUGUAGAGCUGAGCCCCCUUAGUGUCUUGUCACCGUGUCCAGGGGGAAGCUGCAAGCAUUCUGAACAGGCACACAGGUAUCCUGCUUGAACCACUUCCUUGGUGCCACUUUAUUGACCCACAAAACACUACCAAAACAGUUAACCUAGGAGUUAAAAAAUAAAGUACAUGGCAUUUUUUAAUUUAUUUCUCA
rnacentral:lncRNA from 1 species